AUUGAACGCUGGCGGCAGGCCUAACACAUGCAAGUCGAGCGAGCGGCGGACGGGUGAGUAAUGUAUGGGGACUGCCCGUUAGAGGGGGAUAACUACUGGAAACGGUAGCUAAUACCGCAUACUAUCGGAUAACCCAUAUGGGAUUAGCUAUUAGGUGAGGUAAUGGCUCACCUAGGCGACGAUGCCUAGCUGGUCUGAGAGGAUGAUCAGCCACAAUGGGACUGAGACACGGCCCAGACGCCAACGGAGGCAGCAGUGGGGAAUAUUGCACAAUGAGCGCAAGCCUGAUGCAGCCAUGCCGCGUGUAUGAAGAAGGCCUUAGGGUUGUAAAGUACUUUCAGUCGGGAGGCGUUACCGACAGAAGAAGCACCGGCUAACUCCGUGCCAGCAGCGGAGGUAAUAC
rnacentral:rRNA from 1 species